rnacentral:rRNA from 1 species
AGAUUGAACGCUGGCGGCAUGCCUAACACAUGCAAGUCGAACGGGAGUAGCAAUACUCUAGUGGCGGACGGGUGAGGAAUACGUAGGAAUUUGCCCUUAAGUGGGGGAUAACCCGGGGAAACCCGGAUUAAUACCGCAUGACCUCGAAAGAGCAAAGUGGGGGAUCGCAAGACCUCACGCUUUUGGAGAAGCCUACGUCGGAUUAGCUAGUUGGUGAGGUAAUGGCUCACCAAGGCGACGAUCCGUAACUGGUCUGAGAGGAUGAUCAGUCACACCGGAACUGAGACACGGUCCGGACUCCUACGGGAGCAG